rnacentral:rRNA from 1 species
GACGAACGCUGGCGGCGUGCCUAAUACAUGCAAGUAGAACGCUGAAGGAGGAGCUUGCUCUUCUGGAUGAGUUGCGAACGGGUGAGUAACGCGUAGGUAACCUGCCUGGAAGCGGGGGAUAACUAUUGGAAACGAUAGCUAAUACCGCAUAACAGUAGAUGUUGCAUGACAUUUACUUAAAAGGUGCAAUUGCAUCACUACCAGAUGGACCUGCGUUGUAUUAGCUAGUUGGUGGGGUAACGGCUCACCAAGGCGACGAUACAUAGCCGACCUGAGAGGGUGAUCGGCCACACUGGGACUGAGACACGGCCCAGACUCCUACGGGAGGCAGCAGUAGGGAAUCUUCGGCAAUGGACGGAAGUCUGACCGAGCAACGCCGCGUGAGUGAAGAAGGGUUUCGGAUCGUAAAGCUCUGUUGUAAGAGAAGAACGAGUGUGAGAGUGGAAAGUUCACACUGUGACGGUAGCUUACCAGAAAGGGACGGCUAACUACGUG